GAUGAACGCUGGCGGCGUGCCUAAUACAUGCAAGUCGAGCGAACAGACGAGGAACUUGCUCCUCUGACGUUAGCGGCGGACGGGUGAGUAACACGUGGAUAACCGACCUAUAAGACUGGGAUAACUUCGGGAAACCGUAGCUAAUACCGCAUAAUAUAUUGAACAGCAUGGUUCAAUAGUGAAAGACGGAUUUGCAGUCAAUUAUAGCUGGAUCCGCUCCGCAUUAGCGAGUUGGUAAGGUAACGGCUUAGCAAGGCAACGAUGCAGAGCCGACCUGGGAGGGUGGGUGGCCAACCUGGAACUGAGACACGGUCCAGACUCCUACGGGAGGCAGCAGUAGGGAAGCUUCCGCAAAGGGCGAAAGCCUGACGUAGCAACGCCGCGUGAGUGAUGAAGGUCUUCGGAUCGGAAAACUCUGUUAUUAGGGAAGAACAAAUGUGUAAGUAACUAUGCACGUCUUGACGGUACCUAAUCAGAAAGCCACGGCUAACUCCGUG
rnacentral:rRNA from 1 species